GCGGCUCAAGGCACGCCGGGAAUUGUAGUCCAUGAAUGGUCCUACCCUCUACUCUUUCCCUGAGAUUUCGCCCUCCCAACGUGACCGGAGACGCUCAGUUCACGGAUGCAGUUGGUACUCCCAAGCUAGUUUGAUGUGGCGCGCUGGAUCCGGGAAGAGAACGGACUACAGCUCCCAGGAUCCCCUUAAGAUGGGCUUUGGGCUCCGAUAACUGACCAAGACCAGGAAGAUAAAAACAAUGUCAGAGGCCAACUGGAGACAGGAUUUGCUUUGGGCAAAGCGUUCCACUUGCUGAAGGUUCAAGAGUUGGCAAGUCCUGUGGCCACUCCCUCCACACCCCCACCAUCAGAAGUAUAGUGAGGAGUCUGCUAGAGGAUGCCAACUUCUGGGAUUAUCCUCUAGGCAUAGUGGUGGGCCCAUACAGAAAAUUCUUGGACAGCUUUUCCUGGAAUGUUUCUACUAACAACCCAUCUCAAACAUGAGAUCCCUUUACAGCAGAUCCCAAAUGCAGAGCUGUCUGCCUGGGGCUCAGUUCCCUCAGAAUCUUCCACUGGGGGUUGAAUGGACAACGCUUACCUGGGAGAUACACCGAGGAGCUGCCAGGCUUUGGUGCGCUGUGCUCCUGGUUUAUUUCUAGCCUUUCCUAGGCAGAGGCGCCUUUUUGGUGUCAAUUAAAUUCCCAUGGCUAGAACCUAA
rnacentral:lncRNA from 1 species